rfam:Oryzias latipes DNA, scaffold7349, strain: Hd-rR.
GUUUCUGUAGUGUAGUGGUUAUCACGUUCGUCUUACACACGAAAGGACCCCAGCUCGAACCUGGGCAGAAACA